rnacentral:rRNA from 1 species
AUUGAACGCUGGCGGCAUGCCUUACACAUGCAAGUCGAACAGUAACGCGGGGCAACCUGGCGACGAGUGGCGAACGGGUGAGUAACGCAUCGGAACGUACCCAGUAGUGGGGGAUAGCCCGGCGAAAGCCGGAUUAAUACCGCAUACGACCUACGGGUGAAAGCGGGGGAUCGCAAGACCUCGCGCUAUUGGAGCGGCCGAUGUCAGAUUAGGUAGUUGGUGGGGUAAAGGCCUACCAAGCCUACGAUCUGUAGCUGGUCUGAGAGGACGACCAGCCACACUGGGACUGGGACACGGCCCAGACUCCUACGGGAGGCAGCAGUGGGGAAUUUUGGACAAUGGGCGCAAGCCUGAUCCAGCCAUGCCGCGUGCGGGAAGAAGGCCUUCGGGUUGUAAACCGCUUUUGUCAGGGAAGAAACGCCCUGGGCUAAUACCCCGGGGUAAUGACGGUACCUGAAGAAUAAGCACCGGCUAACUACGUGCCAGCCGCCGCUGUAAUAC